AACGAACGCUGGCGGCGUGGAUAAGACAUGCAAGUCGAACGAUAUCAGUGGGGUAGCAAUAUUCCACUGGUAGAGUGGCGGAAGGGUGCGUAACACGUGGGAAAUUUACCGUAAAGACUGGGAUAACUCGCUGAAAGGCGAGCUAAUACCGGAUGUGACCUUCUUGGGAAGCUCAAGAAGUUUAAAGCUGGGGACCGCAAGGCCUGGCGCUAUACGAUAAGCCCGCGGCCUAUCAGCUAGUUGGCGAGGUAAAAGCUCACCAAGGCUAAGACGGGUAGCUGGUCUGAGAGGACGACCAGUCACACUGGAACUGAGACACGGUCCAGACACCUACGGGUGGCAGCAGUCGAGAAUUUUUCUCAAUGGGCGAAAGCCUGAAGGAGCGACGCCGCGUGGGGGAGGAAUGGCUUCGGCCCGUAAACCCCUGUCAUUUGUGAACAAACGGUGCCUGAUAAUACGAGGCAUCCUGAUUGUAGCAGAAGAGGAAGGGACGGCUAACUCUGUGCCAGCAGCCGCGGUAAUACAGAGGUCCCAAGCGUUGUUCGGAUUCACUGGGCGUAAAGGGUGCGUAGGCGGUUAGAAUAGUCUGUCGUGAAAUCUCUGAGCUUAACUCAGAAAUUGCGAUGGAUACUGUCUAACUAGAGAGUUGGGGGGGGGGCUGGAAUUCUCGGUGUAGCAGUGAAAUGCGUAGAUAUCGAGAGGAACACCAGUGGCGAAGGCGAGCCCCUAAACAACCACUGACGCUGAGGCACGAAAGCUAGGGGAGCAAACAGGAUUAGAUACCCUGGUAGUCCUAGCUGUAAACUGUGCAUGUUUGCUGUAAGCAGAAUUAACCCUGCUUUUAGCGAAGCUAACGCGAUAAACAUGCCGCCUGGGAAGUACGGUCGCAAGAUUAAAACUCAAAGAAAUUGACGGGGGCCUGCACAAGCGGUGGAGUAUGUGGCUUAAUUCGAUGCAACGCGAAGAACCUUACCUGGCCUUGACAUGCAAGUAGUAGAAUGGUGAAAGCCAGACGAGGUAGCAAUACCAGCUUGCACAGGUGCUGCAUGGCUGUCGUCAGUUCGUGUCGUGAGAUGUUGGGUUAAGUCCCGCAACGAGCGCAACCCCUAUGUCCUGUUGCGAACUGGUUCGCUAAGGCACUCCGGACAGACUGCCUCGCCAAAACGAGGAGGAAGGUGGGGAUGACGUCAAGUCAGUAUGGCCCUUACGGCCAGGGCUGCACACGUACUACAACGCCUAUGGCAAAGGGAAGCAAGGCCGCGAGGCUGAGCAAAUCCUCAAUCAUAGGCCCAGUUCAGAUUGCUGACUGCAACUCGUCAGCAUGAAGCCGGAAUCGCUAGUAAUGGCACAUCAGCUACGGUGCCGUGAAUACGUUCCCAGGCCUUGUACACACCGCCCGUCACAUCAUGAAAGCUGGUCGUAUCCAAAAACUGACUGUUAAAGUGGUUCAAGGUAUGGCCGGUGAUUGGGAUG
rnacentral:rRNA from 1 species